GGAUCAUUAAUGGGUUACUGGCCUCCGGGCCUCAAUCCCCACCCUUCAAAACCGCGGCCAAGGUUCGGCGCUCAGGCGAGGCACCCCCCGUUCGCGGAGGGGGCCAUCGCCCGCCGGAAUCUCGCAAACCCUGCCUGAAAAUUGCAGUCUGAGAAAAUGAUAAAUUAGCGAAAACUUUCAACAACGGAUCUCUUGGUUCUGGCAACGAUGAAGAACGCAGCGAAAUGCGAUAAGUAAUGUGAAUUGCAGAAUUCAGUGAAUCAUCGAAUCUUUGAACGCACAUUGCGCCCCCUGGUAUUCCGGGGGGCACGCCUGUUCGAGCGCCAUUUCAACCCUCGAGCCCUGCUCGGUGAUGGGCCCCGUCCGUAGUGGACCGGCCUGAAACCAGUGGGCGCCGACGUCCGGCCCUGAGCGUAGCAAGAGAAAUCCCUCGCUCGGUGGCCCGUCCGGCGGUAGCCCCGACACAAACUCACUAGGUUGGCCUC
rnacentral:rRNA from 1 species